AAGAGCUUGACUUCGAUGAAUCCGUCAGACCCUUCACAAAUGGUCAAGGUUAUCAAUUCUUCGACUCGCAGUCAGAGGAGCCAACGGAGAAAGAUGCUGAUGACAAAGAUAUUAAGAUAAGAAGGGAUUUUACCAUAGAUACCAACGACACGUCAAUUCCUAUACAUGUUGGUAACACUAAUAAGAAUGUUGAACGGUACUUAGACAAGAAUAAAAAAACUGAAGAUGAAUCAACCAAAAGAACAGAAAAUCUAAAGGAACAAUCCAGCAAUAACAGACGAAAACGAGAUAUUGGG